rnacentral:lncRNA from 1 species
UGCUGACCUUUCAAUAGGAUGCUGUGGGCUGUGUAUAGUCCUUCUGUUCUGACCUUGGGGCUGUAGUCCAUUGCUAAUGAGCAUGAAUGGAAUGCUGAUCCUGAUGGGACCUAGCAACAUUGUGGCCUGCAGUCAGGGCACCUGUCUUGAGGCUCACCUGUGUCUGGGAGCCUCCUGACUCACUUAGGGCAGCUUCAUGUGUUUGAAGUGGUUACUGACUGAGACCAGUAAAUCUGUGCAAACAUUGUGCUCUCUGGCAUAAGCAUCGAUGAAAACAUCAGAGGAAAAGCUACCCCAGUGCUCCCAGGCUCUCUUCAGGCUGGAGUGGAAGACUUGUGCUCAUGAACCUUUAGUGUUUUUUUUUUUUUUUCACAUUUAUAGAAUCUAUUCACUGUCAAAGUGAUUUAAUAAGUGAAAUAAUUAUUUUGCUUUUCUUAGCCUCGAAUAAAAUAGGAUUAUAAUUUCAUGUAAAAUACAGUAUUGAAUUCUGACAUUCAGUCUCUUUCUACCCACUCACUUUCUCUGUUUGUGUAUACAUGCAUGCAUGUUGACAGGCCAGCUGUCAACCUUGAGUGCUGUUCUUCAGGUGGCAUCUCCUCCAUAUUUUAGAAGGAUUUCUCAUAUCUCACCAAAUAGACUAGGCUGUCUGGCCCAUGAGGCUCAGGGGUCUGUUUGUCCAUAGGAUGACAAGGACCUGCUAUAAUGGCCAGUUAAAGUUUUUGUAUUUUAAUUUUUUAUUUAGAUUUCAAAAAUUAAUUUAAAACGAAUUUAUUUUUAAAUUUUAUUUAAUAUUAAUUUUAUAAGUUAAAUUUAAAAUAAUUUUUUUACAAUUUCAUUUUUUUAAAUGAGGAUCAAACUCAGGUCCUCAUGCUUUCCCAGCAUGCACUUUGUAGAGUAUGUUAUUACCUUGUCUCCUUGGUGAUAUUAAAAAUUUGAUUUUCAAAAUAUGUACUUUUUCAUGAUGCCAAAUAAUUAUUAAACCAAUUACUUUUAUUGCCAUUUAGUUGAUUUGAUGGAGGUUUAGACUAUGAACUAUUUUUCAAUGUUUCAGUGAGAUUAUAUGCAUAGUACACAUUCAUUUUUACAUUUCAUUAAUUUGAUAUGUGCUAGUAAAAUCACAAUCUCUGUACCCAAAUAAAAUAUUUGUAUAUCCCUUUACACAAUUUUCCAAAUUACUUUCACUGUGAACAUAUGAAAGCAGAAAGUCUGCAUUUUUUUCAGUAUCAUAUAAUCUAUUAAAAAUUAUUUGAAGAAUAUUAUUUGUAGGUUCGGAGAGAUGACUCAGUACUUAUGAGCAGUUAUUUCUCAAUCACCAGAGUUUGGACCCAGAAAUGUCUGUCUGUCCAGUUUUUAGAGGAGCAGGGAAAGAAGGAAUGACUUUGCUGGUUUCCAAACAGGCCAUGAUACAUGUUCCAGGUACAGGAAGAGACUGUGCCUCAGCGGAACAGGAACAAAAUACUGUAAGGGGACACUCAGUCACCACUUGUGACCUCUGCCCACAGGCAUCAGCAUAUAUGUACAUGCACUCACAUGGACAGAGACAUACGAACAUUAAUAAAUAGUUGCCUUCAGGAACAAUGAAUAUCUUCUGGUGUGUGUGUGAAAAAUUUCCCCUGGGGAAUUACUUUCACAUAACCUCUUUAUUACUCACUCUUCUUAUCUCUGUGACAAAAUACUCAGCAAAUGCAAUGUAAGAAAAGAUUUGAUUUUUCCACAGUUUGAGGACAGUCCAUCAUUGUGGGAAAGCAUGGUAGCAGGAGCUUGAAAUGCCUAGUCAUGUCAUAUCCACAGUCAGGAAGCAGAGAGAGAGAUGACUGCCGGUGCUCAGCAUAGGAUGGAGGUGCCCACACUUUAGGUGCAUCUUCCUUCCUCAGUUAUCACAAUCUAGAGACUGCCUCAAAGAUUGCCUAGAUAAUGUCUAGUAGGUGAUUCUCAAUGAUGUCAUUUUGAGAAGCAAGAUUAACCCUCACAAUAUCUCUCCCACUCAGAGAGGGGUGAGCAGAGUUUCCAGACUGUUCAGGAUAAGCAGCUGCACUGUCAUUUUCCCAAACUGUGUGAAAU